rnacentral:rRNA from 1 species
AUUGAACGCUGGCGGCAUGCUUUACACAUGCAAGUCGAACGGUAACAGGGAGCUUGCUCCGCUGACGAGUGGCGAACGGGUGAGUAAUAUAUCGGAACGUACCCAAGAGUGGGGGAUAACGUAGCGAAAGUUACGCUAAUACCGCAUACGAUCUAUGGAUGAAAGCAGGGGACCUUCGGGCCUUGUGCUCCUGGAGCGGCCGAUAUCUGAUUAGCUAGUUGGUGAGGUAAAGGCUCACCAAGGCGACGAUCAGUAGCUGGUCUGAGAGGACGACCAGGCACACAGGAACUGAGACACGGUCCAGACUCCUACGGGAGGCAGCAGUGGGGAAUUUUGGACAAUGGGCGCAAGCCUGAUUCAGCAAUGCCGCGUGAGUGAAGAAGGCCUUCGGGUUGUAAAGCUCUCUUGUCAGGGAAGAAACGGGAGUGGCUAAUAUCCAAUCCUAAUGACGGUACCUGAAGGAUAAGCACCGGCUAACUACGUGCCAGCCGCCGCAGUAAUAC